GUGGGUAACCUGCCCAUAAGACUGGGAUAACUCCGGGAAACCGGGGCUAAUACCGGAUAACAUUUUGAACCGCAUGGUUCGAAAUUGAAAGGCGGCUUCGGCUGUCACUUAUGGAUGGACCCGCGUCGCAUUAGCUAGUUGGUGAGGUAACGGCUCACCAAGGCAACGAUGCGUAGCCGACCUGAGAGGGUGAUCGGCCACACUGGGACUGAGACACGGCCCAGACUCCUACGGGAGGCAGCAGUAGGGAAUCUUCCGCAAUGGACGAAAGUCUGACGGAGCAACGCCGCGUGAGUGAUGAAGGCUUUCGGGUCGUAAAACUCUGUUGUUAGGGAAGAACAAGUGCUAGUUGAAUAAGCUGGCACCUUGACGGUACCUAACCAGAAAGCCACGGCUAACUACGUGCCAGCAGCCGCGGUAAUACGUAGGUGGCAAGCGUUAUCCGGAAUUAUUGGGCGUAAAGCGCGCGCAGGUGGUUUCUUAAGUCUGAUGUGAA
rnacentral:rRNA from 1 species